rnacentral:rRNA from 1 species
CCUGGUUGAUCCUGCCAGUAGUCAUAUGCUUGUCUCAAAGAUUAAGCCAUGCAUGUCUAAGUGCAAGCCACAUUAAGGUGAAACCGCGAAUGGCUCAUUAAAUCAGUUAUGGUUCCUUAGAUAAUACACCAAGUUACUUGGAUAACUGUGGUAAUUCUAGAGCUAAUACAUGCAAAUAGAGUUCCAACUCGAGAGGGAAGGAACGCUUUUAUUAGAUCAAAACCAAUCGAGCCCGCGUCCCUUCGCGGGGGUGCGGUGCCUCGCAUUGAAUUUGGUGACUCUGAAUAACCACUGAGCAGAUCGCACGGUCUCGUACCGGCGACGCAUCUUUCAAAUGUCUGCCUUAUCAACUGUCGAUGGUAGGUUCUGCGCCUACCAUGGUUGUAACGGGUAACGGGGAAUCAGGGUUCGAUUCCGGAGAGGGAGCCUGAGAAACGGCUACCACAUCCAAGGAAGGCAGCAGGCGCGCAAAUUACCCACUCCCGGCACGGGGAGGUAGUGACGAAAAAUAACGAUACGGGACUCAUCCGAGGCCCCGUAAUCGGAAUGAGCACAACUUAAAUACUUUAACGAGUAUCCAUUGGAGGGCAAGUCUGGUGCCAGCAGCCGCGGUAAUUCCAGCUCCAAUAGCGUAUAUUAAAGUUGUUGCGGUUAAAAAGCUCGUAGUUGGACUUGUGUCCCACGCCGUCGGUUCGUCGCCCGUCGACGUAACCGCACGGUUAUUGCAAGUGGGACGUCCAGCCGGUGAGGCGCCGGAACCGCGGCGGGCGCGCGCGCGCCCACGCGCCGGCCGGUCGGGGGGACUCGCACUAACCUGCGUCGGACCUCCAGCCGGUCGCGUCGACGUGCAAGCGUCGCCGCGUUGCAUCGCCGCGGGGUGCCGGCCUCAUAUUACUCGUCUCGGUGCUCUUAAUCGAGUGUCUUGACGGGCCGGCUCGUUUACUUUGAACAAAUUAGAGUGCUCAAAGCAGGCUGAAAACGCUUGAAUAUUGUGUGCAUGGAAUAAUGGAAUAGGAUCUCGGUUCUAUUUUAUUGGUUUUCUGAACCAGAGAUAAUGAUUAAUAGAGACUGACGGGGGCAUUCGUAUUGCGACGUUAGAGGUGAAAUUCUUGGAUCGUCGCAAGACGAACAGAAGCGAAAGCAUUUGCCAAGAAUGUUUUCUUUAAUCAAGAACGAAAGUUAGAGGUUCGAAGGCGAUCAGAUACCGCCCUAGUUCUAACCAUAAACGAUGCCAACUAGCGAUCCGCCGGUGUUCCUCCGAUGACCCGGCGGGCAGCUUCCGGGAAACCAAAGUGUUUGGGUUCCGGGGGAAGUAUGGUUGCAAAGCUGAAACUUAAAGGAAUUGACGGAAGGGCACCACCAGGAGUGGAGCCUGCGGCUUAAUUUGACUCAACACGGGAAACCUCACCAGGCCCGGACACUGGAAGGAUUGACAGAUUGAUAGCUCUUUCUUGAUUCAGUGGGUGGUGGUGCAUGGCCGUUCUUAGUUGGUGGAGCGAUUUGUCUGGUUAAUUCCGUUAACGAACGAGACUCUAACCUGCUAAAUAGUACAUUUGUGUUAACUCGCAAAUGCUGACUUCUUAGAGGAAUAAAUAGCGUUUAGCUAAAUGAAAUUGAGCAAUAACAGGUCUGUGAUGCCCUUAGAUGUCCGGGGCCGCACGCGCGCUACAAUGGCAGUAACAGCGAGUUUAAUUCCUAGCUAGAAAUGGCCGGGUAACCUGCUAAAUCACUGUCGUGUCAGGAAUAGUGGAUUGAAAUUAUUCCACUUGAACGAGGAAUUCCUAGUAAGCGCAAGUCACUAGCUUGCGCUGAUUACGUCCCUGCCCUUUGUACACACC